AUUGAACGCUAGCGGGAUGCCUAACACAUGCAAGUCGAACGAGUGGCGGACGGGUGAGUAAUGUCUGGGAAACUGCCUGAUGGAGGGGGAUAACUACUGGAAACGGUAGCUAAUACCGCAUACCAUCUGAUGUGCCCAGAUGGGAUUAGCUAGUAGGUGGGGUAAAGGCUCACCUAGGCGACGAUCCCUAGCUGGUCUGAGAGGAGGACCAGCCACACUGGGCCUGAGACACGGCCCAGACUCCUACGGGAGGCAGCAGUGGGGAAUUUUGGACAAUGGGGGAAACCCUGAUCCAGACAUGCCGCGUGUAUGAAGAAGGCCCUAGGGUUGUAAAGUACUUUCAGUCGGGAGGCGUUACCGACAGAAGAAGCACCGGCUAACUCCGUGCCAGCAGCGGCGGUAAUAC
rnacentral:rRNA from 1 species